rnacentral:rRNA from 1 species
UACGAAGGGGGCGAGCGUUGUUCGGAUUUACUGGGCGUAAAGGGCACGCAGGCGGCCAUUCAAGUCAGGCGUGAAAGCCCCGGGCUUAACCUGGGAGGUGCGCUUGGGACUGGAAGGCUUGAGACGGGAGAGGAGAGUGGAAUUCCCAGUGUAGAGGUGAAAUUGCAGAGUAUUGGUGGAGGAACACCAGUGGCGAAGGCGGCUCACUGGACCGGAACUGACGCUGAGGCGCGAAAGCGUGGGGAGCAAACAGG